rnacentral:rRNA from 1 species
UACGGGGGGGGCAAGCGUUGUUCGGAAUUACUGGGCGUAAAGGGCUCGUAGGCGGCCAACUAAGUCAGACGUGAAAUCCCCAGGCUCAACCUGGGAACUGCGUCUGAUACUGGAUGGCUUGAAUCCGGGAGAGGGAUGCAGAAUUCCAGGUGUAGCGGUGAAAUGCGUAGAUAUCUGGAGGAAUACCGGUGGCGAAGGCGGCAUCCUGGACCGAUACUGACGCUGAGGAGCGAAAGCGUGGGGAGCGAACAGG